CCCCAGCGUAUAACAAGGAUCCACUAUACAUAAAUAAUAGAAAUUGGAUGAUUGGGAGAGGCUGCCCUAGAUUUAUAUCAGUUUAGUAAAGCAGAUUGUCAUGACCUACAUGGAUAACAUUUCGUGUGCUAAAAAGUCUCCCAUCACACAAGAAAUUUAGAUGACCAGGAACAAAGAUUGCAGCCUUGUCUUUUCCUUCUCACACCUUUCUUGAAGAUCCAGGGAGCUAAGGAAAAGAGAAGGGAGGAUAUUCCAAUAUGUCCCCCUCUACUGAUAUCCUGAAGUGAUCAAAUCAUAUUUAGGAUUCACCAUGUGCUUCCCUCCUUAAUCAUUCCCUGGAUGAGAGCUAUUUUCUAUUGCAGAUCACCUUUUGAGAUGUGGCAAUGUUCUUCACUGAGGAGGAAGGGCCACUCUUGGGUCCAAAACAGAAAUUUCUAUACAACAAGGUGAUGAUGGAAACCUAUGAGAAUGUGUCCUCUUUAGGACAAUAGGAAUGAUAGUGACAGCCUCGUAAAUGAUAAUUGCAAUACUGAAUUAGGACAGUGUCAUCUGAAGUCCACUAAACAGCCUUGUAUUUUUCUCAUGGAUUCAUUGGUAGACUAUACAAAUCAGUAUCACCUUUCAUUACAACAUUCAGGGAAUACAGUACUUGGAAGUGGAGUCGGAAAUGAAAAAGGUAACAAACGGAGUUUUUCCAAACAGUAAUGAAAGAUUUCAGUGUAAACGUGCCAAAGGCAAGACGGUUCCUGGGAUUGCGGAAUGUAUUUUCUUCAGUAUGUGGCAAGUUUU